GUCUUUUUGAGUUAUUUUUAAAGUCUGGCCUGCCCACUGAAUUUUUGAAUGGCCGCAGUAUUUUAACUGUGCAAAGGUAGCAUAAUCAUUAGUCUUUUAAUUGAAGGCUGGUAUGAACGGUUGGACGAGGUAUAAGCUGUUUCAUGUAAAUUUACAGUAGAAUUUUAUAUUUUAGUUAAAAAGCUAAAAUGAGGUUAAAAGACGAGAAGACCCUAUAAAUCUUUAUAUUUUAUAUAGUUUAAAUUUUUUUGGUUUUUUUUAUUUUUAUUAUAUAGGAUAUUUUGUUGGGGUGAUGUUAAAAUUUGAUUAACUUUUAAUUUUUUUAAAUCAUUAAUUUAUGAGUUAUUGAUCCGUUAAUAGCGAUUAUAAGAUUAAGUUACUUUAGGGAUAACAGCGUAAUUUUUUUGGAGAGUUCAUAUCGAUAAAAAAGUUUGCGACCUCGAUGUUGGAUUAAGAUAUAGUUUUAGGUGUAGCCGCUUAAAGGUUAAGUCUGUUCGACUUUUAAAUUCUU
rnacentral:rRNA from 1 species